rnacentral:rRNA from 1 species
UGGGGAAUAUUGCACAAUGGGCGCAAGCCUGAUGCAGCCAUGCCGCGUGUAUGAAGAAGGCCUUCGGGUUGUAAAGUACUUUCAGCGGGGAGGAAGGGAGUAAAGUUAAUACCUUUGCUCAUUGACGUUACCGACAGAAGAAGCACCGGCUAACUCCGUGCCAGCAGCCGCGGUAAUACGGAGGGUGCAAGCGUUAAUCGGAAUUACUGGGCGUAAAGCGCACGCAGGCGGUUUGUUAAGUCAGAUGUGAAAUCCCCGGGCUCAACCUGGGAACUGCAUCUGAUACUGGCAAGCUUGAGUCUCGUAGAGGGGGGUAGAAUUCCAGGUGUAGCGGUGAAAUGCGUAGAGAUCUGGAGGAAUACCGGUGGCGAAGGCGGCCCCCUGGACGAAGACUGACGCUCAGGUGCGAAAGCGUGGGGAGCAAACAGG